AUUGAACGCUGGCGGCCGGCCUAACACAUGCAAGUAGAACGAGUGGCGGACGGGUGAGUAAUGAUUGGGAAACUAGCUUAUGGAGGGGGAUAACUACUGGAAACUGUAGCUAAUACCGCGUACCAUAGGAUGAGCCCAAGUGGGAUUAGGUAGUUGGAGAGGUAAAGGCUCACCAAGACGACGAUCUAUAGCUGGUCUGAGAGGAUGACCAGCCACACUGGGACUGAGACACGGCCCAGACUCCUACGGGAGGCAGCAGUGGGGAAUAUGGCGCAAUGGGGGCAACCUGACGCAGCCAUGCCGCGUGAAUGAAGAAGGCCUUCGGGUUGUAAAGUUCUUUCGGUAGCGAGGCGUUAACUACAGAAGAAGCACCGGCUAACUCCGUGCCAGCAGCCGCGGUAAUUC
rnacentral:rRNA from 1 species